UACGUAGGUGGCAAGCGUUGUCCGGAUUUAUUGGGUUUAAAGGGUGCGUAGGCGGCUUUGUAAGUCAGUGGUGAAAUAUGGCAGCUCAACUGUCAAGGUGCCAUUGAUACUGCAGAGCUUGAGUACAGAUGAGGUAGGCGGAAUUGACGGUGUAGCGGUGAAAUGCUUAGAUAUCGUCAAGAACACCUAUAGCGAAGGCAGCUUACUAGGCUGUAACUGACGCUGAGGCACGAAGUGUGGGAUCAAACAGG
rnacentral:rRNA from 1 species